rnacentral:rRNA from 1 species
AUUGAACGCUAGCGGGAUGCCUUACACAUGCAAGUCGAACGGAGUGGCGAACGGGUGAGUAAUGUAUCGGAACGUGCCCAGUAGCGGGGGAUAACUACGCGAAAGCGUAGCUAAUACCGCAUACUAUUGGAGCGGCCGAGAUCGGAUUAGCGAGUUGGUGGGGUAACGGCUCACAAAGGCGCCGAUCCGUAGCCGGUUUGAGAGGACGACCAGCCACACGGGGACGAGGACCCGGCCCCGACUCCUACGGGAGGCAGCAGGGGGAAAUUUUGGCCAAUGGGGGAAACCCGGAUCCAUCCCUCCCGCGUAGUCGAUAAGGGCCUCCGGGUUGUAAAGCACUUUUGGCGGGACAGCGGUACCUGCAUAAUAAGCACCGGCUAACUACGUGCCAGCCGCCGCGGUAAUAC